GGACUUGUAGCUCAGUUGGUAGAGCAGCGCCCUUUUAAGGCGAAGGUCCCGGGUUCGAGCCCCGGCGAGUCCACCA
rnacentral:tRNA from 1 species